UGUCUCAUCCACAGAGUUUGAAUUUAACUUUUAAGUGAAAAGGCUUAAAUACUCUAGGGGGACGAUAAGACCCUAUAAAGCUUUACAAUAAACAGAAUGCAUUAAGAUUUGUUAGUAUAAUUUGGUCUAUUUCGGGUUUGUUUCGUUGGGGCGACGAGAAUAUAAGUUAGAUAACUGUUCUUUUUAGGUAUACAAUAUUAAUUGGUUAAAAAUUGAUCCUUUAUUAAAGAUUAUAAGAUUAAGUUACUUUAGGGAUAACAGCGUAAUCUUCUUUGAGAGUCCAGAUCGACAAGAAGGGUU
rnacentral:rRNA from 1 species